rnacentral:rRNA from 1 species
GAGUAACACGUGGACAAUCUGCCCCCCGGCCCGGGAUAGCCCAGGGAAACCUGGAUUAAUACCGGAUGAGACGGGACCCGCGAUGGCGGGACCCGGAAAGGCGCUGCGGCGCCGCCGGGGGAUGAGUCUGCGUCCCAUUAGCUAGACGCGGGGUAACGGCCCACCGUGGCGACGAUGGGUAGCCGGCCUGAGAGGGUGGACGGCCACAUUGGAACUGAGACACGGUCCAGACUCCUACGGGAGGCAGCAGCUAAGAAUCUUCCGCAAUGGGCGAAAGCCUGACGGAGCGAACCGCCGCGUGAACGAAGAAGGCCGUGAGGUUGUAAAGUUCUUUUCGGGAGGGGGAACAACCGUGGCAGGGAAUGGCCGCGGGAUGACGUGAAUCCCGGAAUAAGCCCCGGCUAACUACGUGCCAGCCGCCGC